AACUGAAUGCAGCUUUGGAUUUGUUUAUUUUAUUCAGGUCAGCAAACUUCUUACAAAAGCUUCUGCUGAAUGUCUUUUAAUUUGAUUCUCUUUAACACUACAAGGAAAAGGAAAAACAAAGCAAACUGAAGCAGUGGAACAGUGGAACAGGGUUAUCGGUAUAAAGGCCAGACAUCACAGCUUUUAAAAAGGGAGAAUUUAUUCCAUUUUUCGGAACACAGAAGAAGCCAACAUAACUGCAUGCACUUCAACUACGAAAGAGCAUUGUAGAUACACAGGAGCAUCACCCUGAAGCAGGGAGGUGUGCAGGCUAAACAGCACAUGAUCAUCCAAAAUGUCUCAAAAAGAGAGUAUGCAUGCAAAAGACAACCACAGUCAGAACUCCAAAGCUAUCCCAGAAGACCCCUGGCAGAAGCUGAUGUCUCACCACCUGCAUACUAGAGGAAUCAGGAUUUCUGCAUGCCUCACGAUUGCAUUUGAAUUGUGAAGCUCUCUCAUGCAACAAAAUCUGGCAAAUAAUUCAGAUCUCUAACAAGGAUACCUAGGUCCAUCACUGUACCAUGAGAAAAAAUGUAUUAUUUCACCAUUUGAAAGACAUUCUCCAGAACACAGAGGAAAAACAACUCCCACUAUUUGGAGUAAUAUUUUUUUAAUCAUUCCUCUGUGAUAUGUGCUCCAGCAAAAUGAUCAGAGUUCAGUUACAAGCCAAAACCCAACUGCAAAUGCAGGUGCAUUCUCUAAAUGUCACUAUGUCUGCAGCCAGUCUGCGCUCUUCAAUCAGCGAGCCUGGCCAAGAGGCAGCUGUAAAAUUCCAAUAAAAGGCUGAGAAAUACAGAAGGAGGACAAGCCCUACAUUGGACUUCAAGAGGGCAAUCUCAUUCCAGCAAACCCAGAUGAGACUACUCUAAGGAAAAAUGGAUUUUUGAGUCAAAAACAACACUUUUACAUGGAAAAAAAAAAAUUUUUAAGCCUACAACUUUGACUUUGAAGAGGUGAGGAAAGAAGCAAAGUGUUUUAUGUAGAUGUGUGGCAAUACACCUACUAGACUAUGGCUGUAUCACAGAAUUUCUUAUUUUCAACAACAAUUUUAACAGUGGUAAGCACUGUGUGUGUGUCUGCAGAUUCUAACACUUAAGGGUGUGUUUCAGCAAGACGUAACAUUACUGACAGCUUCAGGAUUAGAAAGUGGCUAGCUAUGAAUUGUGCCUGUGGCAAUUCAGAAAUGGAGAAGCACCAGUUGGGAAACUCAUGUUCUCAUUUACUAGCAUAUUAAGUAUGUAAUUAAUCAUUAAUUUCACAAAGCACCUACCUGCCAAACCAAGUGCUCCUUUAUAACAGCUGUACCCGAUAGACAGACGCUCAGCACAAUCGUAUGAGAUGCAGAGGUCAAGACGCUGGCGACUAUAGCGUCCCUCAUGUUGAAGGGCAGCAUGGUAUACACCACAAAAAUAAUGAACAAGAAAAAUGAUACCUGUGCAAGACAACAAGACAAAAAAGAAGCAUGUCAAAUUCACUCUGUAAUAACAUUCAAUAAGUAACAUUUAAUUUUAAACUCUCUUCAGAAUAAAGUUAUACACUGUUUGGU